rnacentral:lncRNA from 1 species
GAAGUGAGUGAAGCUGGUGUCUGUAAAGGUCACAAAGGUCAUAGAACUGAACAACAGCAGACCGAGACAAGGCGAGAGCGCAGAUCUCUUCUAACUUGGCUUAUGCUGUUGCCUUUUCGGAAUCACUAAUUUUACUCUUUUCUGCUUUUUCCUUUUGAAUUAAAUAAUUAAUAAAUAAAACCUGGAGGCAGUUUCACGACCUUCUUUAUGUCCCCAAAAGAAAGACACACACACCCCUUUAUAUUUUGAUAAGCUUUAUACAGCUCAGUAGCUGGGCCCUGUCUAACCUCCAUGCAGUUAAUCUACCUCCUGCCAAUAAUCCUGAGUUAUUACUUACUAAACCCUAAUUCUACCUUGGCUGCCCUGGACCCAGAGGGCUGCCCUCUCCCGGCUCCUUCACAUGGCUGCCAUGCCUGUCUGCCCUGCACUCUUCUCAGGCAAGGUGUCUCUCUUCUCCUCCACGCUCCCCAGACAGGGCGGAUCUCCUUCUUCCUUCCACUCCCUGUCCCAAGCUCCAGAAAUUCCAAAUCCCGCCUCUGUCUGUCCUUCCCAGCUAUUGGCUGUUGGCAUUUUUAUUUACCAAUCAGAACCAAUUUGGGGCAGCUUCCCAGAAGCUACCUGCAGACCCUGCUGUAAGCAGUAUUUGGGGGGAACGUAAUUAGCAUUAUAAUACAAGCAACUGCAUUUUCCUUAUCUAGUUAAGGUUCUGCUUCCAUUAGAAAGCCUUACAGCUUUGCUCACAGAUUUCUUAGCCCUUUAUAGCGUUUGUUUGACCUGUUGAAUGCUAGGUCUGCAUUUCAUCGACUACGUCCAUGUGCUUGUCCAAGAGACUCUGCGGCAGCCCUAUGAGGUGCUUUGCUUUCUCAACUAGAUAGAAAUAUCUCCUGUCACUUUGUGGCAAGACAGUAUUUUGGCUCAUGGUUUUUAAUUCGGUCGUGGUUUCAAUUCCUUUCAGGCAGAGGGACUACAGAGAAAGACUAAUCAGAAUGAGGGCUGAGCAGCAGAAGUGGGUUCCCAGUGGCUUGCCUGGGUCAGCUACCCUCCUGAGGGUUUGGUGUCUCUAAAACAAUGGCAUCAAUUUAAACAAAUCAGGGGAAGGAAGGUGGUCAGGUUUGGAGCCUGUUGUGGCUAUUUCUGACUUAAACCAUAAUGCUAUCAUUGCUAGAAGCUUUUUUUAGUCUAUCUCCCUGCAAAUCUAUGCUUGCUUCAUGUAUGUAGGUGCAUACACAUUUAUAAUUAUAGUCCCUUUAUGAAUUGAUUAUCACCAUUCUUUGUCUCAUCCUUCAGAUUUUUUUGCUUAAAUUUUUAUCAGAUUCAAGUAUAAACACCCUUGCUGUCUUUUGGCUUCCAUAUGCACAGAAUAUCUUCUUCCAGCCCUUUGCUCUCUACGUGUUUGAGUUCUUAAAGCAAAGUGAACCUUCCACAGUCGCUCUCUAGUUUAAUACUGUAGAUUUCAGAAUUCACUUUGGUAUUUGAGAGCCAGGUCUCCACCUUCCCCUGUCAUUGUUCUUCUGUCUCAAAAUCUUCUCAUUGAUGUUGUGAUUGCUCUCUUCCCUGCUGACGUUUGCUGGAGUAUGCAGUCGCAUGAUGCUUCCCACCCCUCCUAAUGCUGCGACCCUUUAAUACGGUUCCUUGUGUUGUACUGACCCCCAACCAUAACAUUACUUUCAUUGCUACUUCAUUUCUGUAAUCUUGCUACUGCUAUCAAUUACAAUGAAAAUGUCUGAUUUGCAGGAUCUCUGGUACGCAAUCCCCCAUGAAAAUGCCCUUCAGUCCCCAAAGGGGUCUGGACCCACAGGUCGAGAACCACUACAGUAGACAUUUGCCCAGGACUGUUGGUUACCGUUCAGAACGUUUCUCCGCCUAGCCACUAGGAACAGAGCCUUGUGUUAUGCCAACUGCCACUAGCACCCAGCCUUUAUUCUCACGUUUCCAGAUCCAGAUCUGAGCAUAGCAAUGCAUGCUGAUUCUGUGAACACCUAUCUUCGCUGCCUGUUGCAUGCAGUUACUUGGAGCCAACGGCUAGAUUUCACUCUCACUAUCAACUAGCAUGCAAGGCACCUGCCAGUGCCUCCAAGUCACUCAAGUGGAUCCCAGUAUCUCAGGCAAUCUGACCCGGCCUCCGUCACUCGGGCCCAGCCAUGUGUAACAGGCCCGGACCAUUUGUCACACCCCGUGUCCUGUCCCCUUUGCUAUCCCGUUCCGUCCUUGGCUUUCUCUUAUCAGCCCUGAAGGUUUCUGGCCUCUUGUGGCCUCUGGCACAGACUGGAGGUAGGGACCUAGCAAUUGAAGGCAUACUUAUUUAAUUAUGCUUAUGUAGAAACAUUGAAGUUCUUUUAUGACAGGUUCGAGCCAGAAGAAUGAGUAGUUGUUUUCUAGCAGGACCCGUGCCAGGAAGCCCGCGCUCUGGAUCCUCUGUGGGCACGCAGCCAGUGUUUGAGGUAGAUAGAAUUUCAGUGCUCAGCAGCUCACCUUAGCUAGCUGUUUCAUAAACAUACUUAGAGCUACGUGAAAAAUGGUCACCAUCUGUACUCUAUGUAGUGGCAGCCAAGCAGAAUGGAAAUCUCAUUCGCCUAUUUAUUUAUUUAUUUAUUUAUUCAUUCUCAUGUAAAGCCUGUAUUAGUUUUCAUCAUUUUUGAUUCUUCAACAGAAAUGUUAAAUAGUUCUGGUCAUAAGUGUAAUUUCAAUUUUACUAGCAUCCACACUGAGAUUUUUUUUUAAGCCAGGUAAAACUGUGAGCAUUUUGUUGCCCUCACUGUGUCCCACCAUACAUCACACAGUCAGCGAUUCUCCGGUGGGUGAUUUUACAUCCUUUCCUGUUUGAAGUAUGAUGUGCAGUGACAGGGACAGCACAUCUGGCACACCAGCCACAGGUGAGGUCAUCUCACUGCCUGGGUGUAUAGCAUCUCUCCUACUGCUUCCUACUUUGAACCUCACCUCCCAAAUUCACUUACGUACAACUCUCUGUUGGAGCAAGGGCAUGUGCGUUUUGAGAAAAGGUACACUGAUCAUUCAGACAAGCAUCUCUUCAUUAAAAACUACAUAGAUUAUUCAUCUUCCUCAUCUUUAAUAAGAUGCAACACCUCCAGCUUUCACCCUGGAGAUGAAUGAUUCAGAUGUUGGCCUUCCAUCGACAAGCCUACUGUGAUUACAGUUUUACCACAGCUGUUUCUAACACAGAAUAAGAAAGCCAGGCUAAGAAUUUGUGCAAUUGUUUCUACAACUAGGGUUAGGAAAAAGAAUAUUUUUUUUUCAGGUUAAUCCUUCCAGUCUAAGAAAAUUAAAUGUGCCAGCACAUGCGACCCAGCACAAAAGCAGUGCAUGCCUAGGCUAUUGCAGAAGUCUCACAGUGGUGAUUAGGGCUGGGUGGAUAUUUCUGAGUACCUCCAUUGUCUUGAUUUGGUCCCUUGUCCAACCUGCUUGACAGACCAGUGCUUUUGGGAAACUGCUUAAGAAAAUACCAUAUCAUGAGGUGUGGUGGCACAAAAUACUGUAUCACCAGGUGGUGGUGGCACACUCCUUUAACCCCAGCACUCAGGAGACAGAGGCAGGCAGAUCUCUGAGUUCAAGACCAGCCAAGGCUGCACAAAGAAACCGUGUCUCAAAAAACC